GACGAACGCUGGCGGCGUGCUUAACACAUGCAAGUCGAACGGAAAGGCCCUGCUUUUGUGGGGUGCUCGAGUGGCGAACGGGUGAGUAACACGUGAGUAACCUGCCCUUGACUUUGGGAUAACUUCAGGAAACUGGGGCUAAUACCGGAUAGGAGCUCCUGCUGCAUGGUGGGGGUUGGAAAGUUUCGGCGGUUGGGGAUGGACUCGCGGCUUAUCAGCUUGUUGGUGGGGUAGUGGCUUACCAAGGCUUUGACGGGUAGCCGGCCUGAGAGGGUGACCGGCCACAUUGGGACUGAGAUACGGCCCAGACUCCUACGGGAGGCAACAGUGGGGAAUAUUUCACAAUGGGCGGAAGCCUGAUGCAGCAACGCCGCGUGCGGGAUGACGGCCUUCGGGUUGUAAACCGCUUUCGCCUGUGACGAAGCGUGAGUGACGGUAAUGGGUAAAGAAGCACCGGCUAACUACGUG
rnacentral:rRNA from 1 species